rnacentral:lncRNA from 1 species
UGAGAGAUUUUCUUUUUCAAUUUUUUAGGAUUUAUUGUGUUAAAUAAAUUUCGAAAAAUUAGGGUUAUGGUUUAGGCUUUUUUAAAUAUGUUUGAAUUAAAAAAAAGAGAUUUAUCAAAUAAUAAGAUUUGAUUUAGAUUAGAAUUAUAUUUUGAAGGCUAUAAAUAUAGCCUAUAUCUUAUAAUUUAUGAGUUGAGUUAUGAUAAAUUAGUUUGAUGUUUAUGGCGUGGCUAUGGUCAUAGUAUUUUCUUCUUCCCUCGUGCUAUAUGCGCCGAUAAAAUUUUUCUUCCUCAAAUGGUUUAUCUUCUCUUUCCUUCUUUAUUUUAUCUAAUUUUCUCUAUUUCUCUCUUAUUUUUCUUUUAAAUUUGCUUUUCUAAUUCUUUUAGAAAUUCUACAAAUUUUUCUGACUUUUACCUUAUUAUCGGCUAUUUUCUUCAAUUUUUUCUCGAUUUUUUUUUAAAAAAAUAUAAAACUAAAAAAACUGUACAGAAACCUAUUGCUCCAGCUGUACUUUUUUUUGAUUUUUUUAAUCUUUUGUUAUUUCAAAAUUUCAUUUAAAAUUUAUUAAAAUUUUUAAAAAAUUAAAAAUUCGAAAAUUUACUUAAAAUAGGGAUGGUGGGUAAAAUAGGGUAUUUUGUUAGUAUUGUAUUUUCUUAUAAAAGAGUUUUUUGAAUGGUUUUUAUAGAAUUAUAGAAUAUAACAAUGAAUCUUGGGAUAAAAUGAAAAGGUGCACAAAUAUAUAAAAGUUUGGAGAAAAGUGGGGGUGAAAUAACUUAGCCAUUCCUCACUCAAUCUUUCUUUCUUGUUGUGCAUUUUAUAUUGGCAGAUUUCAUGAAGUUUUUUGGAAUCUUGAAGGGUUGAAGAAGAAGAUAUUAAGAUCAAAGACUCGAAGGCAUAUAUUGAAGCUCACGACCCCAAAUAUAUUUAUGGUUGUCAGAUGUGACUCGAAAUCUACUAUCGUUUCCACGUUUGGGUUUACGACUCGCCGACAGCUUCGCGGUGCGACCAAUUUGGAAAAGAAAAUUAUGAAAAAAAAAUGAAUGUCUGUGGUGCGACCAAGUUAUGAGUUUUUCUUUUCGUUUUUGCCCUAGAGGCGUGUGAUCAUGGUUGGUUGUAAUUUGCAGAAUAUUGUAUUCCCUUUUCGUUCCAUAGUGAAGCUCUCUCCUCCCUCGCCCGUGGUUUUUUCCCUGUAAAGGGUUUUCCACGUAAAUCUGUGUCUCUUUAUUUUCUGCUUGUGGUUUGAUUGUUUUUUUGUGUUCGUCAUUUCGUUUUCGUUUGUGCGUUUGUUGUAACAAUGGUGGUUUAUGAAUAAUCUAUAAGUGUUUAGAAGACAAUAGUAUAGGACUAUAUUUAAAU